AUGCUCAGUUUAGCCCGGCAAGUGCAAAAAUGUUAUCCUCUUCCAUUUCUUGUCAUUUAAAUGAUCUAGCCAUGGACCGCAGUGUAUAACUUCAGUCAUGUUAGAAUGUUUCAUUGCUGGUUAUUUUGUCUUUUUUCUCUCUCUUUU